GUAGCAAUACUUAGUGGCAGACGGGUGAGUAACAUGUAGGUAUCUGCCCUUUGGCCUGGAAUAACACGAGGAAACUUGUGCUAAUACUGGAUAAGUCUUUACGGAGAAAGCUUUAUGCACCAUUGGAUGAGCCUGCACUUGAUUAGUUUGUUGGUGGGGUAAUGGCCUACCAAGACUGUGAUCAAUAGCUGAUUUGAGAGGAUGAUCAGCCACAUUGGGACUGAGACACGGCCCAAACUCCUACGGGAGGCAGCAGUGGGGAAUCUUGCACAAUGGAGGAAACUCUGAUGCAGCGAUGCCGCGUGAGUGAAGAAGGCCUUUGGGUUGUAAAGCUCUUUCGUCGGGGAAGAAAAUGACUGUACCCGAAUAAGAAGGUCCGGCUAACUUCGUGCCAGCAGCCGCGGUAAUACGAAGGGACCUAGCGUAGUUCGGAAUUACUGGGCUUAAAGAGUUCGUAGGUGGUUGAAAAAGUUAGUGGUGAAAUCCCAGAGCUUAACUCUGGAACUGCCAUUAAAACUUUUCAGCUAGAGUAUGAUAGAGGAAAGCAGAAUUUCUAGUGUAGAGGUGAAAUUCGUAGAUAUUAGAAAGAAUACCAAUUGCGAAGGCAGCUUUCUGGAUCAUUACUGACACUGAGGAACGAAAGCAUGGGUAGCGAAGAGGAUUAGAUACCCUGGUAGUCCACGCCGUAAACGAUGUCAACA
rnacentral:rRNA from 1 species